rnacentral:tRNA from 1 species
AUGUUGUUAGUAUAAUUAUUAUAACACUUUUCCAAAGUGUGGAUCUAUUUUGAUAGGCAACGUA